rnacentral:rRNA from 1 species
UACGUAGGGUGCGAGCGUUAAUCGGAUUUACUGGGCGUAAAGCGUGCGCAGGCGGCCCGUUAAGACAGGUGUGAAAUCCCUGGGCUCAACCUAGGAAUUGCGCUUGUGACUGGCGGGCUCGAGUACGGUAGAGGGGGGUGGAAUUCCUGGUGUAGCAGUGAAAUGCGUAGAGAUCAGGAGGAACACCGAUGGCGAAGGCAGCCCCUUGGGCCUGUACUGACGCUCAUGCACGAAAGCGUGGGGAGCAAACAGG